rnacentral:rRNA from 1 species
UACGGGGGGUUCAAACGUUGCUCGGAAUUAUUGGGCGUAAAGCGCACGUAGGCGGUCCCUUAAGUCGGGUGUGAAAGCCCUCGGCUUAACCGAGGAAGUGCAUUCGAAACUGGGGGACUUGAGUACUGGAGAGGAUGGCGGAAUUCCCGGUGUAGAGGUGAAAUUCGUAGAUAUCGGGAGGAACACCAGCGGCGAAGGCGGCCAUCUGGACAGAUACUGACGCUGAGGUGCGAAAGCGUGGGGAGCAAACAGG